rnacentral:rRNA from 1 species
CACGUAGGGGCGAGCGUUGUCCGGAAUUACUGGGCGUAAAGGGCGCGCAGGCUGUUAUGCGAGUCUGCUGUGAAAUGUACCGGCUCAACCGGUGCCUUGCGGCGGAUACUGCAUAGCUGGAGUACUGGAGAGGGAAGUGGAAUUCCCGGUGUGGCGGUGAAAUGCGUAGAUAUCGGGAGGAACACCGGUGGCGAAGGCGGCUUUCUGGCCAGUAACUGACGCUCAUGCGCGAGAGCUGGGGUAGCGAACCGGAUUAGAUACCCGGGUA